rnacentral:rRNA from 1 species
UACGGGGGGGGCAAGCGUUGUUCGGAAUUACUGGGCGUAAAGGGCUUGUAGGUGGCCAACUAAGUCAGACGUGAAAUCCCCCGGCUUAACCUGGGAACUGCGUCUGAUACUGGAAGGCUUGAGUAUGGGAGAGGGAUGUAGAAUUCCAGGUGUAGCGGUGAAAUGCGUAGAUAUCUGGAGGAACACCGGUGGCGAAGGCGGCAUCCUGGACCGGUAUUGACGCUGAGGCGCGAAAGCCAGGGGAGCAAACGGG